rnacentral:rRNA from 1 species
CUAAGUACUAAAAUCAAUGGAUUAAAACUUAAAGAGCAUGGCGGCCAGAAAAAAAUUUAGGGGAACUUACCAAAUAAUAGACAACCCACAAGUUACCUUUCUUAAAUUAGAAGUUUGUAUACCGCCGUCUAGGUAUUACUUUUGGUGAUACCAGCUAUAAAUAAGACAGGUCAUGGUGCAGCCAAUAUUUAAGUUAUGGCGAGUUACAUUAACAAAUUGUUUUCUUAAAGGAUUUAAAAUCCCCUGAGGACUGGACUUGAAAGUAAGAUUUAACUAGCAAUAAAAUUUGAAUACUUCAUUUCUGGUGC